rnacentral:rRNA from 1 species
UACGAGUUUGAUCAUGGCUCAGAAUCAACGCUGGCGGCGUGCCUCAGACAUGCAAGUCGAACGAUUAAAGCUCUCUUCGGAGAGUGCAUAGAGUGGCGCACGGGUGAGUAACACGUAAGUAAUCUACCCUCGAGUGGGGAAUAACGUCCGGAAACGGACGCUAAUACCGCAUAAUGCAGCGGCACCGCAAGGUGACAGUUGUUAAAGAUUUAUCGCUUGAGGAGGAGCUUGCGGCAGAUUAGCUAGUUGGUAAGGUAAUGGCUUACCAAGGCUACGAUCUGUAACCGGUCUUAGAGGACGGUCGGUCACACUGACACUGAAUAACGGGUCAGACUCCUACGGGAGGCAGCAGUCGGGAAUUUUGGGCAAUGGGCGAAAGCCUGACCCAGCAACGCCGCGUGAAGGAUGAAGUAUUUCGGUAUGUAAACUUCGAAAGAAUAGGAAGAAUAAAUGACGGUACUAUUUAUAAGGUCCGGCUAACUACGUG